rnacentral:lncRNA from 1 species
UUUUUUAAUAUCUUUAUAUUAUUCAAACGUCACUGUUGGGUGUUUUGACGAUGAAACGCGUGUCUGGUAAAUAUAAGUUUGGAUCCUGGUAUCUAUGAUAAGUGUAUUUUCUUUUGUAGAAAAUGGUGGAUUAAACCCUGUUUUAGAGCAAGCAAUAUAACAUCUAACUUGUAUGGCAGUCGCCUAAAAUUCCAUUAUAUUGACAAAAAUGUUUUACCAAACUAAACACAU